UACGUAGGGUGCGAGCGUUAAUCGGAAUUACUGGGCGUAAAGCGUGCGUAGGCGGUUCUCCAAGUCCGUUGUGAAAGCCCCGGGCUCAACCUGGGAAUGGCAGUGGAAACUAGGGGACUGGAAUCUGGCAGAGGGGGGUGGAAUGCCGCGUGUAGCAGUGAAAUGCGUAGAGAUGCGGCGGAACACCGACGGCGAAGGCAGCCCCCUGGGCUGAGAUUGACGCUCAGGCACGAAAGCGUGGGGAGCAAACAGG
rnacentral:rRNA from 1 species